AGUGAACGCUGGCGGCGUGCUUAACACAUGCAAGUCGAACGAGAACGGAUUAUAGCUUGCUAUAAUUGUCAGCUAAGUGGCGCACGGGUGAGUAAUGUAUAGGUAAUAUGCCUCUUACUAAGGGAUAACAAAUGGAAACGUUUGCUAAUACCUUAUACUCCUUUUAAACAGAAGUUUAAAAGGGAAGGAUUUAUUGGUAAGAGAUUAGCCUGUAUUGUAUCAGUUAGUUGGUGGGGUAAUGGCUUACCAAGACUAUGACACAUAACUGGUUUGAGAGGAUGAUCAGUCACACUGGAACUGAGACACGGUCCAGACUCCUACGGGAGGCAGCAGCGGGGAAUAUUGCACAAUGGACGAAAGUCUGAUGCAGCAACGCCGCGUGGAGGAUGACACAUUUCGGUGCGUAAACUCCUUUUAUAUGAGAAGAUAAUGACGGUAUUAUAUGAAUAAGCACCGGCUAACUCCGUGCCAGCCGCCGCGGUAA
rnacentral:rRNA from 1 species